UCCCCUUUAAGUUCUUAGCGUAUCAAUUAGUCUCUUUCAUCUCUAUUUUCUUGUACAUUACAUACUUGUUGGUUGGAAAUUAGUUUUCAGAAGCUACAUGAGUUGGGGUUAACUAGAGAAAUUAGUUUGUUCAUAUUCUGUUGGUCCUUUUCUGUGCCUUUCACAUCCGAAAGGUUUGCUUUCUGCAAUUAUUCGAACUACAGUUCCAUUUCAUUAGAAUUUUUUUUCUUUGUUGUAUCUCUAGACUCUCUGCGUAAGAUUCCAAAUGGGAACUACCCCAACUUGACCCAAUUUGGCAUGGAUUUUGUAUUUUGAGAUUUCAAGCUAACUGCUGCUAAUGGAAGCCCUCCUUCUUUCACUUGUUAAUUCUUAGGGAAUAACAAUUUUACAUUCUAUUUACAUUUACAACUGAAGAAAACUAAAGCGCAUUGCAUGCUCUUUUAUGGUAGAAUGACCUUAUCAGCUUCCAACAAACUCGAGAAAUGCAUGCUCUGAUGUGUUGAAGUUGAAGAUUUCGAGAAAGAAUGAAAGCUGUAGCAGAAAACAUAGGGCUGAGAUCUCUCCAAGAUGAUUUUGGGGAGGUUUGCCAAUUGGCCUUAGUGAAAUCAUAAAAGAAAAAUAGUUCAUUUGUGUUUGGAGGGGCGGCCUUCAUCUGAUCUGACCACAUGGAAAAGCUCUCUUUGUGUUGAUGAAGAAUUCUCAAACAAGAUAAACUGAUGUUAAACACUGGGGGACACGUCUUUGUUUGGUUUUCUUGCAAGAAAAACAACGUUAAACUGAUGAUAAACUGAUGUUAAAGCUCGUAUUGUUGAAGUUCAAUUUCUUCUUCUUCCGCAUUGAAAGAUUAUAGCUUUGUCUAUGAAUUCUUCAAGGACAGCCAGUUUGAUACUGAUUGUUGUUUCCAACAAAAGCUUUGUCUCUACACAUUAUAGCUUAUUCCUCGAAUGUUACAUAUAUUCAAUAUUUCCGUACAUUUCAAGAAUUUUGACAAGCAAACGGUCAUUGAAGUUCAAUAUUAAAUAUUCUGAGGUUGUCUACGCUA